GGGUAUUUUCUGUGGGCCGAGUAGUCUUCUGGGACAGUCUCCCAGCUUGGCCUCAGAGCCAUGUGUUAGUGAACAGCAGUGGCUGGUUUCCAAUAACCUGCAUUUAUCAAAGCAGGCUGGCAGAAGCACUGGCCCUAGCUUGCCAGUUUCUGACCCACCUAGUCAUGGGCAGCCCCACCCCCAGCACAAUAAAUUAAUGAUGCUCCCCCUUCACUCUGGAAAA
rnacentral:lncRNA from 1 species